AUUGAACGCUGGCGGCAGGCCUAACACAUGCAAGUCGAGCGGCAGCGGGAAAGUAGCUUGCUACUUUUGCCGGCGAGCGGCGGACGGGUGAGUAAUGCCUGGGAAAUUGCCCAGUCGAGGGGGAUAACAGUUGGAAACGACUGCUAAUACCGCAUACGCCCUACGGGGGAAAGCAGGGGACCUCCGGGCCUUGCGCGAUUGGAUAUGCCCAGGUGGGAUUAGCUAGUUGGUGAGGUAAUGGCUCACCAAGGCGACGAUCCCUAGCUGGUCUGAGAGGAUGAUCAGCCACACUGGAACUGAGACACGGUCCAGACUCCUACGGGAGGCAGCAGUGGGGAAUAUUGCACAAUGGGGGAAACCCUGAUGCAGCCAUGCCGCGUGUGUGAAGAAGGCCUUCGGGUUGUAAAGCGCUUUCAGCGAGGAGGAAAGGUUGAUGCCUAAUACGUAUCAACUGUGACGUUACUCGCAGAAGAAGCACCGGCUAACUCCGUGCCAGCCGCCGCAGUAAGAC
rnacentral:rRNA from 1 species